CCGAGUGUGUGUCAGGAGAUGGGGUUGGAGCAAGUUGCACUGAUAAACUGAUGUAGUAGUCAUCCAAUAUUUUACAAGUGUUAUGAGCAAAGGAAAAUAUAGGAGCAAACAAAGAGAUAUGGGAAGAGAAACUCAAGACUGCCAAGAUUACCAGAUUUAGGAAGCAUAGUUAGAUCCAAGUUAAGGAGUGGGAUAUGGAACAAUGGAAAUGACACUGUUAAUGAGGGUUUACUAUUUAAAGCAGAAAAGGAAUACAGAAUCAAAAUCUGUCUCUUAUUUUGUGAAGGCUGUCUGCAAUUCUUUCAAGACAGGUUCUCUUUACUGAACUGGUUAGAAUUCAAAGGGAUUUUCCUCCCUUCAUUGUGUAUGAAAUCUUAUCCAUCUGCUUGAAGAAAUAACAAAAUAAAGAUUAAAAAAAGUGUUUGUGGCAACUUGAUCAGGGAAAACAAUCAAUAGAAAAGAAGCUGACGUAUCACUGUGUCUGUGUUGAAUGUUAUCAGAAUAGUUUGUAUCCUCAGCUUGGUUUUCAUACAUCUUCCAACAGAGUCUUUUUACAGAGUUUAGAGAGAGCACCAAACAAAACAGACGGGGAAAAGAGAAUAGUAAAAGGGAAAACUAGGUAAAUAUUUGAGAUAAGUCCAGACACUCCUGUUGUUUGUUCUGUUCACAAUAUUGUGAUGAAUUGUUAAUGAGAGGUAUAUGAGCGAUUCAGGUUUCUUCUGAGUUUCAUCCUUUACUGUAUGAGUAGUUGCUUUUGAUUUUCAUUCUGCAGAAUUUCUCAUUGUAAAAGGAGGAACAUAUGAGAAAUGUUUUAAAAGAAAUUCUGCAGAAUGGUGGUGAGUUACACAGUGAGCUAUCCAUGGUGCACUGCUUUCUCUGUCAAUGGAAGAGCACUAAUUGUGGACGUGCUCUGCUAUCACAAGGAGUCUUGUGUGAACGUGCAAAAGCAGUUUAAUUAUAGCAGAGAAUGACCAAUGUAACUUAAAUCAUCUUAUCUUUCCAGUGUAGACACAGUGUAAAUUCUGUUUCCUGAAUGACUGACUGUUCUCAGGAAUACAUUUCCCCUCCUGAUGAUAAAAGGAGGAGAACACAGCUAUUAAAGUGCUACAAAGCAGGAAGACAAGAUUAAUGCAAUCCCUGGAAGGUAUUAGAACUUUAAAGGUCUUUUUGGAACAACGUGUGUGAAGUGGAUUUCCUAGGAAGUGCCUUGGGAUUUGAGUAUUUGUCUGUCUGUGCAUGAGCCUGUUCAUUCAAGAACUCCUAAAUGUGGGAAGCUGAACUGAAAGGCCCUAGCCAUCUGCUACCUAUUGGCAGAGGGACAGUGAUGGUGUCAGAAUGGGGUGAAGAGUCCAACAGCCUAACACUGACUCUUGGUUCUGUUACCUCCAGGAGGAGAAGUGUGAUGCAACAGAAAUAAAGAAAAGACUAGCAGUUUGCAAACAAAGUUUCAGGCACAGGUGGAGUGCACAAUUGCAAGGUCCAGGACCUUUCACUCUCUGUCUAAUUGAAAGUCUUCGAG